rnacentral:lncRNA from 1 species
UCACUCAGGCAAACACAGACGUGUGCCAAGCGGAGAAGGGGCAGGAGGGACCUACGCUUGACGAAUGACAGACGGCCGCGCGAGGAGUGGUAGGACGUUGUGGUGGAUGGGUGGGUGUCUCUCCAUGCUGCACUAACCUGGAAACGAAUUUCUCGGGGGAUCAGAGAUACAGCAUUCGUUGGUAGAGGGCGCAGCCCCUCAGCCUAUUGCCAGCGUCUUAGCCGGGGUCAGUCUUUUGCCCAGGAGCUCAAGAGGCAGGAGGUCAUCCUGAGGGAGGAAGACGUGGAGAGAAGCAGCGGUUGCUGUUGGAGGAGGCCUACUUUAAAGCUGCUCACUUCUGCAAGGAAGGAAAGGAGAAGGAGAGUGGAUCAAAUCUCUGGAGGACAGCCUGCUCUCUGCUAUAGGGCUUAAUACCACUGAAACAAAGCAAGGAGGGAGAAAUCGCAACAUAUCCGUGCAGGUUGGUAUGAGAGUGGGUACAAAUUUGGGUGGGGAAGUGGAGAUCAAUACUCGUCCACGA